GUGAGGUGGCUCAGAGGUUAAGAGCACUGGCUGCUCUUCCAGAGGUCCUGAGUUCAAUUCCCAGCACCCACA
rnacentral:tRNA from 1 species